rnacentral:rRNA from 1 species
UUCACGCCGUUAACGAUGUCAACUAGCCGUUGGAAUCCUUGAGAUUUUAGUGGCGCAGCUAACGCAUUAAGUUGACCGCCUGGGGAGUACGGCCGCAAGGUUAAAACUCAAAUGAAUUGACGGGGGCCCGCACCAGCGGUGGAGCCUGUGGUUUAAUUCGNAGCAACGCGAAGAACCUUACCUGGCCCUGACCUGCUGAGAACUUUCCAAAGAUGGAUUGGUGCCUUCGGGAACUCAGACACAGGUGCUGCAUGGCCGUNGUCAGCUCGUGUCGUGAGAUGUUGGGUUAAGUCCCGUAACGAGCGCAACCCUUGUCCUUAGUUACCAGCACGUUAUGGUGGGCACUCUAAGGAGACUGCCGGUGACAAACCGGAGGAAGGUGGGGAUGACGUCAAGUCAUCAUGGCCCUUACGGCCAGGGCUACACACUGCUACAAUGGUCGGUACAAAGGGUUGCCAAGCCGCGAGGUGGAGCUAAUCCCAUAAAACCGAUCGUAGUCCGGAUCGCAGUCUGCAACUCGACUGCGUGAAGUCGGAAUCGCUAGUAAUCGUGAAUCAGAAUGUCACGGUGAAUACGUUCCCGGGCCUUGUACACACCGCCCGUCACACCAUGGGAGUGGGUUGCUCCAGAAGUAGCUAGUCUAACCUUCGGGGGGACGGUUACCACGGAGUGAUUCAUGAC